UACGGAGGAUGCGAGCGUUAUCCGGAUUUAUUGGGUUUAAAGGGAGCGUAGACGGCCGUUUAAGUCAGCUGUGAAAUGGUGCGGCUCAACCGUAGCACUGCAGUUGAAACUGGACGGCUUGAGUGCAGUUGAGGCAGGCGGAAUUCGUGGUGUAGCGGUGAAAUGCUUAGAUAUCACGAAGAACCCCGAUUGCGAAGGCAGCCUUCUAAGCUACAACUGACGUUGAUGCUCGAAAGUGUGGGUAUCAAACAGG
rnacentral:rRNA from 1 species